rnacentral:lncRNA from 1 species
UGGAAACAUCAAGCAGGAAUGCAGAACAUUUCCCUUAAAAUUGGGAUCUGCUUAGAAAGUUCAUUUCACAAUUUUACAAUGCUAUGUUGGGUGUAAUGCCUCUACUNNNNNNNNNNNNNNNNNNNNUGUAAUGCCUCUACUGCUUGAUGUUUCCAUCAAUAACUUCAUCUAACAAAUCAGAAUUAGAUGGCUAUGGAGUCUCAUUUGAAGUUUCUUCAACAUUUCCAACUUUUGUUGUUUUUAGCAAUAAUUCUUGCUUUUGGCCCCAUAGAAAUGCAUAUAGUCCAACAAUUAUCAAACAUUGUUAAAGCCCUGCCUCCUGGCCUUCUCCUGGCCUUAGAACCAAAGGAAUGGUCAUCAUGGUNUGCCUCCAUUGCAGAACAUAAUUAUGGAUUAGUGUGACUUGCGCUGCGAAGUUCUCAACCAUGUGAUGAUGUGAUUCCAAUAGUCCAGUACUCAUGGCAGCAGAUAAUGUGCAUUCUGUUAUCUAUGUUAUAUCUUUUGUUGUUUGUAAGUGCUGUGUUCCUGUAAUUGUGAACUCUCUACAAGAGUCCUUUACAAAGGAAAGAAAUGUGAGAUACAUCAUAUAGUCAAGCAAACGUUUUAUAUAUCACCUGAUUCGUGCUCUGUACUCCUUUCAUUUCCAUUAGGCUAAUCU